GGGGAAUUUUCCGCAAUGGGCGAAAGGCCUGACGGAGCAAGACCGCGUGAGGGAAGAAGGUCUGUGGAUUGUAAACCUCUUUUGACAGGGAAGAAGUUCUGACGGUACCUGUCGAAUCAGCCUCGGCUAACUCCGUGCCAGCAGCCGCGGUAAUACGGAGGAGGCAAGCGUUAUCCGGAAUUAUUGGGCGUAAAGCGUCCGUAGGUGGAUGUUCAAGUCUUCUGUCAAAGCGCGGAGCUUAACUCCGUAAAGGCAGAGGAAACUGAGCGUCUAGAGUGCGAUAGGGGCAAGGGGAAUUCCCAGUGUAGCGGUGAAAUGCGUAGAUAUUGGGAAGAACACCGGUGGCGAAAGCGCCUUGCUGGGUCUGCACUGACACUGAGGGACGAAAGCUAGGGGAGCGAAAGGGAUUAGAUACCCCUGUAGUCCUAGCCGUAAACGAUGGGUACUAGGCGUUGUCCGUAUCGACCCGGGCAGUGCCGUAGCUAACGCGUUAAGUACCCCGCCUGGGGAGUACGCUCGCAAGAGUGAAACUCAAAGGAAUUGACGGGGGCCCGCACAAGCGGUGGAGUAUGUGGUUUAAUUCGAUGCAACGCGAAGAACCUUACCAGGGCUUGACAUGUCGCGAAUCUUUGUGAAAGCAGAGAGUGCCUUCGGGAGCGCGAACACAGGUGGUGCAUGACUGUCGUCAGCUCGUGUCGUGAGAUGUUGGGUUAAGUCCCGCAACGAGCGCAACCCUCGUCCUUAGUUGCCAGCAUUGAGUUGGGCACUCUGGGGAGACUGCCGGUGACAAACCGGAGGAAGGUGGGGAUGACGUCAAGUCAGCAUGCCCCUUACGUCCAGGGCUACACACGUACUACAAUGCUACGGACAAAGGGUUGCCAACUCGCGAGAGUGAGCUAAUCCCGUAAACCGUGGGCUCAGUUCAGAUCGCCAGCUGCAACUCGCCUGCGUGAAGGAGGAAUCGCUAGUAAUCGCAGGUCAGUAUACUGCUGGUGAAUACGCUCCCGGGCCUUGUACACACCGCCCG
rnacentral:rRNA from 1 species